GAUAUCCAAUGUCAUCAUUGUCAAUGUCCAUAAAGUUUUAGGAAGUUGAUCUUAGCAAAUAGAUAAGAUCAUUAAGGGUCUUGUCAUAGUCUGUUUCAUAGGUGUCCCAAAGGAACUCACUAUGUGACUUAGAAAGUGAUUGAACCACCAACUUUCUCAAGACUUUGACACCCAACUCUCCCGGCUUGUCAAUAUGUGACUACAUCUCCAAGAUGUGAUCACACCUAGACCUUGCCUUGCCAAUAGGGCUUGAGUGACCUUAAACUUUUCAAGAACUUGUGGGUUAGGGAGAAUAAUUGGAGGAGGUGAAAGAAGUAUGAUUUCCAAAGGACAUCAUCUUCAUUUAGGAAACCUUGUUUCACUAGAUUUGGGAAGAUCAUAGGUGUCUAUUACAGACAUCUUUUGGGAGAUAUUCAAGAUAGUUGAUUUAAAGUCCUUAAUAUGACACCCAAUAUGAAAUAUUAAGGCUAGGACCCAACAAACUAUUUUAUAACUUAGAAGAGGUAUGCCGUAAUCCAAGCUAUAAAAUAUUUGAAGGUAGGUGAAUGACGAUUCACCAAUUUCCACCAAGAUAAACGAAAUGUAUUAUUAGGUUUUAAUUGGUUUUGAAACUCCUAGAUCUUUGAGAUUCAUUGAACUGUUCAAAGGCAUGUUUCAAUCUCGAGUGUGCCCUUCAGGUUUUGUGACUGGGAUGCCGAGGAUCACAAAACAAGGUGUGAAGUAACCAUGCAAAUCACUUGGUACCCUUAAUAAAUUACCCCUCAAUCGAUGUGCCGGUUAACCACACACGCUCCAUCGAUACUAUGAUAAAUAUUAAGUCACCCUUUACCUACCUUGUUAAGUCCAAGUUAGUGUGCCGGUUAACCACACACGCUCCACUAACGACUUAGACAAAGUGUAAAGUGUAAUUUCAUGGAUUAGCACCUUAUUCACAUUUUUCCUAAGUAACUAAGAUUGGGUAUUAUUAAGAGUUUAGUUACUUAGUAUUAUCAUUAAUACUUUUAAUGAAGGGAGAAUUCUAGUCCUGUCAAACCCGUUCGGCUAACGACCCUCCACCAGUCAAGCAAGCGGUGGGUGAGAGUGGACACCCAUUAAGUUGCCAUUUUAUAGGCAACAACCUUAUACCCACCUUAUAGACCGGCUUCGUGAAUGAGGCGUACUAGCGGUAAGACUGACUUUACUCUUAUACAUAUAUAUAUUAUUAACUUAUAAUAUUAUAAAGUAUAAGGGUUGAAUUUUAACUUUUAAAAUUCUAAGGGCUAACUUGGAAUUAAAGUAUUCAUAAGUGAAAACUUUACAAAUUCCAAAACUUGAGGGCAAGUUUUGAAACUAUUCAAAACUAAUUAAUUCCAUAACUUAUGUGUUUAAAGUAGUUUUAAUCCAAAAACUCUUCAAGUUCCAUAACUUGAGGACAAGUUAUGGAAGACUUUAAACUAAUAAAAGAAUUAACUUUUCUUUAUUUUAUAACUUAUGGAAUUAAUUAAGGUUACACUUUUUUUUUUUUUAUUUUAUUUUAUUAAAUGAAGAGACUCUUGGUCCUCCAUAACUUGAGGACAAGUUAUGGAGUCAUAAAACCAUUUAAUUAGAACUAGACUCUUCAUUUUUGUAACCUUUGCCAAUUUUUAUGAGUUUUAUGAUUCUUAAAUGUGACUUUUCAUAUAACUUGAGGACAAGUUACAAAAACACAUUUUAGAAUCAAUUCUUAGAUUAAUUUGGAUUAAAACCAACUAUCACAUAAUUUUAUUCAUUAAUCUAAAUUCACUCAUAAAACAAGGUAACACAAAAAACUUUUGGUGAUCCAUAACUUAUUCUUAAGUUAUGGAAUCCUUUAAAACAUUAACACCAAAUUUUGUAACUCCAAAAAAACUUUGAAUCAAUUUUUUUUUUAAAACCUUUUCAUAUCCAUAACUUAUGGAGGUUUCAAAAAAUAAAACUCUUUAGAUCAAACUUUUAAAACUAAUAAAAUAAUCAUAUUAUUUUAUCUUUUAUUAAAUUUGACCUAAUUCAACUCAUAAAGCAAAUUAUUCAAAUUUUACAAAUAAUUAGUUUUUCACAAGAACAAGUAAUUAUCUUAAAAUUUGACAAACUUCAUGUUUUUUUUUUUUUUUUUUUUCAACUUUGAAAAUAAAAUAUUUGCAUCAAUAUAACAGAAAACAACCCGUGGCUCUGAUACCACUGUUGGGUUUUGAGCAUUCUAACACUUCCUAAGUGUACAUGCAACCCUAAAUACCUUGGAUCUAUGUUUUCUCUAUUAUACAUGCAAAUAAGAACUUCCAAGGUAUUAUCCUAAUCUAGCAUACAAAACAAUAACUAUAGCAAGAUAGAAUACAUACCUCUUUGGUGUAGAAAGUCUUCAUGAAGCUUGAGUGCCUAGUGCCCCAAGUGUGACACCUCAAAUGGAAUCACAAUCAUCAAAACACUUAGAAUGACUUGAGAGAAUUCUACACUCAUCAAAAUCGGCUAGCCCUUUCUUCACUAUCUCUAGUGGCCGAUUUUUCCUCAAUAAUAAGAUGCUUAUAUAGUUACACAAUUAGGGUAAACUCUUAAUUGUCAUGGCUUUCCAUUUCCUUGGAUCCAUGGGUACAAAUACACCAUGGAGCAUCCAUGGACCAUCCUAUGGGUUUUAGCCCAACUUGAUUAUCCAUGGAGCAUUAGCCCACUAUACAAGUAUGGAUGAUUUACACAAUCAACCCAUAUAUUUAAUUAGUCUUCUUUUGAUCACUUAAUUAAUCCUAGAUUAAUUCUUGAUCAAUACUAAUUAAAUAAUCUUAUUAUUCUUAUUAUUAAUAUACUAGAACUUAUAAUAUAUUAAUAACCAUAAGUGUCUUAUUUCUCUCAUUAUAGUCUAUCCAAGUGCAUGAUGGUAUGCAACCCAAAUGGACCAUGCCGGGUCGGGUCAAGUCUUACCAAUUAUAGUUAUGGACUUAGACAUUAAUCCAACAGUCUCCCACUUGGAUAAGUCUAAAACUAUUAUUGCGUAUGACUUCAGGAACCAACUGGCAAUCGUAGCUCUCAAAAGCUUCUGUCGAACUCUGACCUUGUAGAUGAACUCUGACCUUUGUCAAUGACUUGUCCAUUAGAUAAGGGAUCAUAUAUUCCUCCAUUCUAGAUAUCAUAUGGACUGAGACAUGGAUUAUAAUCAUUCUCUCUGUCCAUUUGUUGUUUCCCGAUUUCCGAUUUAUGACGACUGACUAAUUGAACAAAUCAAAUCAGUCCUGGCCCGGCCGAGCACUUCCAUUUGUCAUCAUCAAAUCAUCGAGGGGCCCACAGAUAUCGCUUUUAUCCCGAAGGUAAAAGGAACGGAUAAACUUCGACUCAUAUGGCUUGUUCUACUACUUGUUGAAUCAUACACAAAGGCACGUUUUAUAGCACCGAGUUACCAAAUGCGUUUUCGUGCAAUCAAUGUACUAUCAACUCAUAGUAACAACUCAUAUCUCUAGGUUUGAAGAAUAUAAGAUAUUAUCGUCUCAUGAUCACUCGUGAUAAAAUCCAUGAAGUGAUUCCAAUGAGCGCGGGUUGAAUCCAAUACUCAGAACUUAUGAGCACUCAUGAGUGUUGUAGCCCUUUGUCCAACACCUUAGACCUCUACAAGCCAACCCAUGACAGUCUUAAUUCAUAUCUACUUCCAACAUAUGACCGACUGUGGAUGGUUUGAAUAACUUAGUCAUUCCGGAAGAAUAACCUAGUUUAUUCGGGAAGUCAAAACAUGCAAAGUGAAACACAAUAAUAAUUGAAUCCAAUAUGGUAUCAACCCUUUGAACAUAAAUAAAACACCUUUUAUUUAUCACCAUAUGAUUACACAUUAUUCAUUGUAUACUGUUUCAGCUAUCAACUUUAUUCUUGAAUUUAAAACAAUAGUUGUCCCAUGCUCCAAGCAUGUACACUAUGUUUUCUUAAACACUAGUCAUGCCACACACCAAGUAUGCAUACUAUGUUUGUCUAUGAUCUUUACUUUGUGAACUAGAUCAAUUGAACAUAACUUCAAUGAUUCUCUUUUCACACUCCCAAAUCCUUACUGCAAAUGCAAGAAUUCCAAAUUCAUGCCAUUUACUGAAAUCUGUUAGAUUCUAAACUUAUAUGCAUUGAUCCUCUUGUAAUGAUUAUGCACAAAGUCAGAAAGACUUGACAACAAUCAUUACAGAGUAUUCCAAAGGAGAUCAGCUCCUUGGAAACAUCCUUCUUGCAUUAAGUUUCCUAAUCUUAAACAGAUUGAAAAUUCUAACUUUGAAACAUUUCCAGAUUCCAUUUUGACUAUCACUUCUGAACAAGAGUUGCCUCCUUACAGAUUAUGUCAAUAUGGUCCUUCCAGAAUUAUCACUAUACUUCCAACUGUCCUUGAGCAACCAAUCUUUGGUAAACCUUAGAUUGUCCUCGACAAUUGUUUAAUCCUUUUAGUCAUAUCCAGUUCUAAACCUUUUCCCUUCUUAAUGCCCCAGGCAUUUGGAAAAUUUUAGAACGGAUGAAUAUAGCACAUGUAAUCGAUCCUAUAUCCGAAGCAUAUGGGACACGAUUCAUGAUGUCUUACAUAAAGACUAAACCAGUCUUUUGCUAUAAUAUUUCCAUUUCAAUUUGCCAAGUUCUCAUAAUUCAGAUUAUGAAAAGGGAUGCCGUAAUCAUAAUCGAAUUUUAGAACGCAAAUAAUGGACCCAUAUACAGAAUUUCCUUAUGUUGAGCCAUUCCAACAUGAAAUUCAUAUAUAUCCUUGACUAAAUGAUUAAAACCUCACGAUCUAAGCUUAUAGAUUUGAGAUGAAGUAUAAUUUCCUCUCCCUUAAUUAUAGCAAAACAACUUUUUCCCAAUUGAAACUUUUGUUUUCUAUAAUUAACAUUGCUAACUUGCAAUACUUAUCAUAAUUAUCAUGCUCCCACUAACAUGAUGAUUAUUAGCAUAACACUUAUGCUCCCACUAGCUUUGACAUGUACUCAGAAAUCAGCUGGACUUCUAGAAAUCAAUACUUCAUUGACUUUCUUACCAAAGUUCAGAUUUCUGAUGCUAGAUUGUUUUGAUAAAACUUUAUCAAAAUCAUACACCUUCCCUUAGAUAGCACACUUGUGUAUCUAAACAAUUAUGAAGAGGGAUGCCGUAAUCAUAAUGUUUAGACCUUUUUGCCACUUCUCACAAGUCCAAGUUAGUGUGCCGGUUAACCACACGCGCUCCACUAACGACUUUGAGAAUGCAAAUAUCACAAUUGCUAUCUAGCUAAAAUCUACUUAGUGAAAGUGUUUCCUCACCAUCAUUUUCAUGAAUCGGAGAGAAACCUUAUGACACUUAGAUUUAAUGGUGUAUGUGUUCUUAUCCAUGUGAAUUGUCAAAACCAUAGUCACAAGACAAGGAUAAUGACAAAUCCAAACUCAUAUGGACUGAACUCAAUCUUAAUUUCUUGCCACCUGGCAGCUCAAGGGCCUACCAUUGCUUCCAAGUUGUUGUGCAACAAAUUGAGAACUCUAAGAACUCAUAUGCAAAGCCAACUUUAACUGGAAUGGGCACAGAAUAUGUCAACACGAUAGGUUAUGAACCUCAAGUCGUGUGCUAGUGAAGAACUUCAGGUUUUAUUCUUGAUUAGUUCUUGAGACUUUCAAGACCUUUAAGACUCCCACUGUCCUCUUGACAUAUAAGACUCCCUUGUCAAACAUCCAAGAGAUAGUGCGGAUUCUAAUCAAGAAAAACACUUUACCCAAUUGGCCUAAGUUGGUCUUUGUUUUAUCCAAAACAUCACAACUUACCAAUUUCAAAUGUACAAGAGUAGAAAACUUUUACUCUUACAUUUGACAAGUGUUUUAAACCUUCUUUAAGACAUGUCACUCAAAUGACAAUCUUGGAGUAUGACUCUAAGACUUGUAUUGGAACGAAGUAUGACUCAUCUUCUUGAUUUAACCAUUUCAACAAUUCAAGUUCCUCUUCUUAGUCAUAAGAAUGCACUAAGAUUUCCUUAGAGAACUAAUUUUGAUAUGGUUUCUUAAUCAUUAAGAUGAUCACAAAACUGAUACUAAAGUACUCUCCCAUCUUUUCAGAUUUGAGAAACUUUUAUCCUUCUGCCUUAUUUGAUUCUUCUUAUCGAUCUUUAGUGGUGGACUUAAUCAGUGCACAAGAAUGUGUACUCGAUCCCUAAGUCCUUUACUUGACUCACACAUCCAUGUGAACAAGUAAUUAGUCUUAAUUUUCCAAAACUUGAAAGUUCUCAUUCAUCAUGCUAUACAACUUGCAUGAUUCCAAGUUCCGGUCCAAUUGAAACUUGGGUGAUGAGGAUCUUUCCUUAUUUGGUAAAUUUAGACAUUACCACAAAUGAAAGAAUCAAUUUCAUAUUUCCACUCUUGCUAUUAAUGGAAUCAUAUAAGCAACAAUUUUUAAUCAAAUGCCAUUGUAAGGAUAUUUAAAAUAAAUAAAAUCAUCAUUUUUCCUUUUAUUUUAAAAACUUUGCGGAAAAACUAUCCUUACAAUGCAAAAGAGCAUGAAAACUUUGUUGUUAUCUAUUCCUAAGCAAUAUCUCAUAACUCCUAAUAAGUAGCUCAAGAGUCCGAUCUUCAAACUAUGCGAUAGAAAUCCAUCUACGCGAUCAGAUUCAGCAUAUUCUUUCUUUAAGUUUCUUUAUUUUUCUUUGAUUCUUAAAACAUCAACAUGUGACCCAGUCACAUCAUGUAUCAAGAAUCUCAGAAUAAAAACUUAGCAGAGUUAGAUAGUGGAUUUUACCUGAAGUAGAGUCAAACAUCCUUAGGUAAAAUUAGGCAGCUUCGCAACUAAUGCCCCUUCCUUUGGCAAUGGACCCUUGAUAAUGAGACAAUCUCAGACUUAGCCUCUCUCUUUACCAUUUGGUUAACUGAGUUGACUAUGACCGAUCCCUUUCCAUUAGGAAGAGAGAGCUUUACUGGAUAUCCAAUGUCAUUAUUGUCAAUGUCCAUAAAGUUUUAGGAAGUUGAUCUUAGCAAUAGAUAAGAUCAUUAAGGGUCUUGUCAUAGUCUAUUUCAUAGGAGUCCCAAAGGAGCUCACUAUGUGACUUAGAAAGUGAUUGAACCACCAACUUUCUCAAGACUUUGACACCCAACUCUCCUGGCUUGUCAAUAUGUGACUACAUCUCCAAGAUGUGAUCACACCUAGACCUUGCCUUGCCAAUAGGG
rnacentral:lncRNA from 1 species